AAGUAGGUUUGUGAAAAUAUGAUUUUAGUGAAAUAAGUUUUUCAAUUUCAAAGCAAACUACGCAACAAUGAUACAAGAUGUCAUGUCCAAGUUCAUCUAAAUAACUAACUGCAGCAGACACACAUAUCAAAGCAAUUGAAAAUCAUCAAGAAUACAUCAACAACUUCCACCAUUGAAUCCCACAAAAAUCAUAUUUUCACAAACCUACUUCAUUUCCUCUCUAGGAAGAUUACUUGUGAUUCUCAUCCUUCUUAGAAUGAAUUGCUUCAACAAGGGCCUCAACCUCUUCCUUCACUCGUUCAAAUACACCUGGUCCUCUGACUUCACCGGUAGGGGUAUUCUCAUCAAUGUCAUCACUUGUUCCAUGCGUUUCUUUAUGAUGGCGUGGAAUGUGAAUUAUUGACUCAAUCUCUUCCUUGGCUCUUUCAAAUAUAUUUGGAGAUUUCACAUCUUUUUCUGAUGGGGACCUUGUUGGGUCUGGUUUUGAUUCUGCCAUUGAAAUCUGCCUGCUAAAAACCUCUACUUGUUUUUUCUCUGUAUCGGAUUCAGGAUUUGAUUAAGCUAAUCCGCCAAUCAGCAUUCAGCAGCGCCUUUG
rnacentral:misc_RNA from 1 species